rnacentral:rRNA from 1 species
AUGGUUCUCAAUGCCCAAAAAGAGAAGCUACUUGUUGGGCUCGCACCGGACUUGAUCGAGGGGGGAGUGGCCAUCUUACAGUAUGCGGAUGACACGGUCAUCUGCUUCGAGCAUGACAAAGAUGCAGCUGUAAACCUUAAACUUCUUCUAUACAUGUUCGAGCUUAUGUCAGGCCUUAAGAUUAACUUCAUGAAAAGUGAGAUCCUCUGUGUUGGGGGAGAUGAUGAGACAAUUGCCUUCUAUUCUGAGUUGUUUAACUACAGCAUUGGGCACUUCCCUAUGAAGUACUUGGCAGUGCCGGUCAGCUUUUCCACAUUACAUAGUCUGGACUGGGAUUUCUUGGACGAGAGAUUCCUUAAGUGUUGUGAAUCCUAG